rnacentral:ncRNA from 1 species
GCAGAGUAGAUGUCGAAGCGUUAAGUGCCCGGUGAACAGGGAGUUGUCACAGGGACGAAGAGCUUAUGCUUGCGGUUUCGGUGUCGCAUCCCGCUGC